rnacentral:rRNA from 1 species
AGAGUUUGAUUAUGGCUCAGGAUGAACGCUAGCGGCAGGCUUAACACAUGCAAGUCGAGGGGUAACAGGAGUAGCUUGCUACUUGCUGACGACCGGCGCACGGGUGCGUAACGCGUAUGUAACUUACCUCUAACUGGAGAAUAGCCCCGAGAAAUCGGGAUUAAUGCUCCAUAAUACCACGGAUUCGCAUGAUAGAAGAAUUAAAGUUCCGACGGUUAGAGAUGGGCAUGCGUCCCAUUAGGUUGUUGGUGAGGUAAUGGCUCACCAAGGCUACGAUGGGUAGGGGGCCUGAGAGGGUUAUCCCCCACACUGGUACUGAGACACGGACCAGACUCCUACGGGAGGCAGCAGUGAGGAAUAUUGGUCAAUGGACGCAAGUCUGAACCAGCCAUGCCGCGUGCAGGAAGAAUGCCCUAUGGGUUGUAAACUGCUUUUAUACGAGAAGAAACCCACCGACGUGUCGGAGGCUGACGGUAUCGUAUGAAUAAGCACCGGCUAACUCCGUGCCAGCAGCCGCGGUAAUACGGAGGGUGCAAGCGUUAUCCGGAUUUAUUGGGUUUAAAGGGUGCGCAGGCGGGAAAUUAAGUCAGUGGUGAAAUCCUUCAGCUUAACUGAAGAAUUGCCAUUGAAACUGGUUUUCUUGAAUCUACUUGAAGUGGGCGGAAUAUGACAUGUAGCGGUGAAAUGCUUAGAUAUGUCAUAGAACACCGAUUGCGAAGGCAGCUCACUAAAGUAGUAUUGACGCUCAGGCACGAAAGCGUGGGGAGCGAACAGGAUUAGAUACCCUGGUAGUCCACGCUGUAAACGAUGAUCACUCGUUAUUGGCGAUACACUGUCAGUGACUAAGCGAAAGUGUUAAGUGAUCCACCUGGGGAGUACGAUCGCAAGGUUGAAACUCAAAGGAAUUGACGGGGGCCCGCACAAGCGGUGGAGCAUGUGGUUUAAUUCGAUCAUACGCGAGGAACCUUACCAGGGCUUAAAUGUAGAACGACAGUUUGGGAAACCAUUCUUUCUUCGGACGGACUACAAGGUGCUGCAUGGUUGUCGUCAGCUCGUGCCGUGAGGUGUCGGGUUAAGUCCCAUAACGAGCGCAACCCCUAUCCUUAGUUGCCAGCGGGUAAUGCCGGGGACUCUAAGGAAACUGCCGGCGUAAGCCGAGAGGAAGGUGGGGACGACGUCAAGUCAUCACGGCCCUUACGUCCUGGGCUACACACGUGCUACAAUGGCGAGUACAAAGGGCAGCUACCUGGUGACAGGAUGCUAAUCUCUAAAGCUCGUCUCAGUUCGGAUUGAAGUCUGCAACUCGACUUCAUGAAGCUGGAAUCGCUAGUAAUCGCGCAUCAGCCAUGGCGCGGUGAAUACGUUCCCGGGCCUUGUACACACCGCCCGUCAAGCCAUGGAAGCUGGGGGUGCCUGAAGUCAGUAACCGUAAGGAGCUGCCUAGGGUAAAACUGGUAACUGGGGCUAAGUCGUAACAAGGUAACCGU